rnacentral:rRNA from 1 species
UGCAGAGAACUUUCCUAGAGAUGGAUUGGUGCCUUCGGGAACGUACUGACACAGGUGCUGCAUGGCUGUCGUCAGCUCGUGUCGUGAGGAUGUUGGGGUUAAGUCCCGUAACGAGCGCAACCCUUGUCCUUAGUUACCAGCACGUUAUGGUGGGCACUCUAAGGAGACUGCCGGUGACAAACCGGAGGAAGGUGGGGAUGACGUCAAGUCAUCAUGGCCCUUACGGCCUGGGCUACACACGUGCUACAAUGGUCGGUACAAAGGGUUGCCAAGCCGCGAGGUGGAGCUAAUCCCAUAAAACCGAUCGUAGUCCGGAUCGCAGUCUGCAACUCGACUGCGUGAAGUCGGAAUCGCUAGUAAUCGUGAAUCAGAAUGUCACGGUGAAUACGUUCCCGGGCCUU